rnacentral:rRNA from 1 species
UUGAACGCUGGCGGCAGGCCUAACACAUGCAAGUCGAGCGGAUGAAGGGAGCUUGCUCCUGGAUUCAGCGGCGGACGGGUGAGUAAUGCCUAGGAAUCUGCCUGGUAGUGGGGGAUAACGUCCGGAAACGGGCGCUAAUACCGCAUACGUCCUGAGGGAGAAAGUGGGGGAUCUUCGGACCUCACGCUAUCAGAUGAGCCUAGGUCGGAUUAGCUAGUUGGUGGGGUAAAGGCCUACCAAGGCGACGAUCCGUAACUGGUCUGAGAGGAUGAUCAGUCACACUGGAACUGAGACACGGUCCAGACUCCUACGGGAGGCAGCAGUGGGGAAUAUUGGACAAUGGGCGAAAGCCUGAUCCAGCCAUGCCGCGUGUGUGAAGAAGGUCUUCGGAUUGUAAAGCACUUUAAGUUGGGAGGAAGGGCAGUAAGUUAAUACCUCGCUGUUUUGACGUUACCAACAGAAUAAGCACCGGCUAACUUCGUG